CCCCGUGUGGCUCAGUUGGUAGAGCAUGGUGUUUGCAAGCCAGGGUUGUGGGUUCGAUUCCCAUGGGGG
rfam:Salmo salar isolate Sally breed double haploid chromosome ssa09, whole genome shotgun sequence.